rnacentral:lncRNA from 1 species
AUGAGAGCUCUAAAAAAAGACCAGGGACGAGCUGACAUGAGAGGGAAAUUACCCAUUCAGCACAUCAGGUGGGUAGGCGGUGGGAUGCAAAAGAAAAAAGUGGGCAGGGAAUUGCGAAGAGGAGAGGGAUCCAUGGGGGUGGAGGAGAAGACAAUCGUGAGAGGUAGUCUGAAAGUCUGACAGGCAAAAGUUGGGGCUGACUAAAACAAAUUUUUUUUCAGGUUAUCCCCAGGCAAAUGGCUCUAGAAAUUGUUGGUCUUUCCAGAAGCUUCAGUAUUCCCAGAAAGAAAACUCUCUUAGAAGCAUUUUCACUUAUGCACUUCUACUGAUAAUGUCAGACAACCAGAGUUCAGUGGGCAUUUGUUAGUGUGAAUUCAGUAAAUAGUUUGUAGAGGGAAAAGAAAUCACCAUUCAUGAUGUGUUGCCUGAGGAUUUGCAGAGGAUUGCCUGCAUGGUAACAACAGUGGGAAUGGAUUAUGAAAUAUCAAAACAGCAAGGCAGCGAUAUGAAGCUUUUCCUCAGCCCUUCCUGCACACUGUUAACAGAAUGAAAAUGUGGAGGUUAAGUACCCUCAACAUCAAGCAACCUUAAAACCAGAGGCUAACUUUAACCUCAGUAUUAAAUAUUGAAUAUCCAACUGAAGGUUCUCUGCAAACACACAUUUAUUCCACCCCUCGCUUGUUAAAUGCACUCAAUACAUUGAAAAUGUUCUAUCAUAGAGGAGAAUUACUUGACACGUAGUUCAGAAUCAGGCUGUACCUCCCUGUGCUGAAGCAAAAAGUUAUGCUUUCUGGUAAUGUGCUUCUGAGUAACAAAUAUGCUGGAGCACGAAAGGCCACAUUAUUGCCAAAUCAGUGUUUUCUUUAUGUUAUCAUUGCCUUUAUUGCAUUAUUCUGCUUGAACCUUAUGAUCAGCUGAUUUUUUCCUAUGAAUUUGUUCUGAUCCCUCAGCUUACAGAAAUGCGUUCCUGCAGAAGACUUUAUAGGACACAAUCCAUGCAGAGAUGAACAAGUUGUAUAAAGUUGAUUAGGUCCAAGUAAGGCUGGCAUUGUUGUCAUCCAAAAUGUUUUAAAGAAAUGUGAGUAAAACAUUUUUUGCCCAAUGUGUACAUUUUAAAUCUCCCACACCAAGUUUUGCAAGUCUUCUGUGAAUAUUACCGAGAGCUAUUUUGGGGCUAAUU